AGAAUAAUUGUAUGUGAUAAAAAGGUUCAAGUUUGGGGUUAUAUGGGGAAAGUAAAAGGAAAAAGCAAAAGCAUUGAGUUCAAAAGAUGAAAAAGAAAAAUGCAUGAGAAAGGAAAGAAAAGAAGAAAAGAGAAAAGUAUGUAAAGUGAACAAAAUGAAAAAUGUAAAAGGAAAAAGGGAAAAAAUUGGGAAUGAGUGAGAUUGGUUAAAAAGAGAGUGUGCUUGAACUUUGAAUAAUGAUUUAAACUCUCUUAACUCAAGGAUUUUGUAUUCCAGAAAAACCAAUUUUCUUGAUA
rnacentral:lncRNA from 1 species